UACGAAGGGGGCUAGCGUUGCUCGGAAUCACUGGGCGUAAAGCGCACGUAGGCGGCUUUCUAAGUCAGGGGUGAAAUCCUGGAGCUCAACUCCAGAACUGCCUUUGAUACUGGAGAGCUUGAGUCCGGAAGAGGUGAGUGGAACUCCGAGUGUAGAGGUGAAAUUCGUAGAAUAUUCGGAAGGAACACCAGUGGCGAAGGCGGCUCACUGGUCCGGUACUGACGCUGAGGUGGCGAAAGCGUGGGGAGCAAACAGG
rnacentral:rRNA from 1 species